GGGUGAAAAAAAAUUAUUGUUCACCGUUUUGUUUACCGCAAAAUGUUUUCUGCAAAAUGGAAUUAAAUAUUUCGGUCGACUUGCUGAUCGUAAUAAUGGUACCAAAACAAGUCAAAAGGAGCGAUGGAUCAAGCCAAGGAUCAAGCAGUACUUUCCGAGCGACCACUUUAUAAACAACCGGACCUGUUGCAUGAAUAGCCGCGAAAAUGAAUACCUCCAACUAUGUGGCAUACAAAUCAUGUCGGAUCCGCCGCUACAACCUCCGCGAAAAUGAGAGACCUGCUGCAUUCCGUAUCCUUCGAAGUCUACUCCAGCUGGUCUUGAACGAUAUAUCUUGGCCCCAUGGCUUACGAAGCCCAUCGUGCAUCGUUUAAACAUCUUAAAUUUAAAACUCGCGUCGAACGUUACGCCAAAUAAAAAUCUGGCGUAGAUGGUGCUGAAACCGAUCCGGAGAACUUCACCACCGUCGACGAGGUAUGUAAAUAUGUGGAUGAACCGGCGGCUUGCUAGAAUCGCCUGUCCACACCCAAAAAGAGCAAAUACGAAAGAGCUGGUUCGGACGACGAAGACGACCGCGAUAACGGUACCGUCAUCGGUGGUGAACACGUCAAGUUGGUCGAAGUCCAGUUCUGCGACUUGUGCAAUAUGUUCUUAUUUAUCCAGAAGAGAAAACUUCGACAACGGGCCGAACGAAUCCACAAGAAAAAAUCAGCGAUGUUAAGGCUAAGAAAGCUUUCCCUGCAGAUGCUAAGAAGGAGAAAGAUGCCAGCACUUCGGAAGCGAGAGCCAGCGACCAAAUGUGGGAGGUUGUUGAUAACGAUAUCGGAGAUUUGCUACGUGAAGUAAGUGGCCCUGUGGAGGACGGAGAGGAAGACGAGAGAAAGACCAGCUGCGAAAGCUUUGCAAGUUGUUCAUUUGUUUUAUGAAGUGGAUAAAACACAAUGCCACCAUCCAGCAGCACAUCAUCGGCCCGGAACUGCGAAAUAGCUGAAUAUGGAUAUUAGGCCACCCCCGAAUCAGUAUCGAUGCACCAACAAGUACAUUUGAGAACUGUCGACACCCGUGAAUAAAAAUGCUAUGCUUGGAAAUUGGAGCAGCAAACGGAGCAAACGUGAAUAUCCGGAAGCAAGCCAGCCAGGUUGUAAUUCCCGGCACCUGGUGUUAGAUGUUCCAUCUUAUGUUGGGUUAGACCAACUAUUAUUGUAUAUUUAGUAUAUAGUGUUAUAAAUUGUAUUUAUUCGUUAUAAUAAAAUGAUAUUUUUUUCAUUUAUUUUUAUUAAUCUUCAAUGUAAUAUUAGAAAAAAUCAGUAUGGUUUCAAACAAAACAAAAUCACCCAAAUUUGGGUAAAAUUUACUAAUAAAUCAUCUCUAUUCAACUACCUAUAAGUAGGUAAAAACGGUUUACUCAUAUAUGGGUAAAGAUCAUUUCACCCAUAUCUAGGUAUGUGCACUUUUUGAGGA